rnacentral:rRNA from 1 species
AACGAACGCUGGCGGCAGGCCUAACACAUGCAAGUCGAGCGCCCCGCAAGGGGAGCGGCGGACGGGUGAGUAACGCGUGGGAAUAUGCCCUUUGCUACGGAAUAGUCUCGGGAAACUGGGGGUAAUACCGUAUACGCCCUUUGGGGGAAAGAUUUAUCGGCGAAGGAUUAGCCCGCGUUGGAUUAGGUAGUUGGUGGGGUAAUGGCCUACCAAGCCGACGAUCCAUAGCUGGUUUGAGAGGAUGAUCAGCCACACUGGGACUGAGACACGGCCCAGACUCCUACGGGAGGCAGCAGUAGGGAAUCUUAGACAAUGGGGGCAACCCUGAUCUAGCCAUGCCGCGUGAGUGAUGAAGGCCUUAGGGUUGUAAAGCUCUUUCAGCUGGGAAGAUAAUGACGGUACCAGCAGAAGAAGCCCCGGCUAACUCCGUG